CAGUAGCCGCGGUAAUACGAAGGGUGCAAGCGUUACUCGGAAUUACUGGGCGUAAAGCGUGCGUAGGUGGUGGUUUAAGUCCGUUGUGAAAGCCCUGGGCUCAACCUGGGAAUUGCAGUGGAUACUGGGUCACUAGAGUGUGGUAGAGGAUAGUGGAAUUUCCGGUGUAGCAGUGAAAUGCGUAGAGAUCGGAAGGAACACCAGUGGCGAAGGCGGCUCACUGGUCCAUUACUGACGCUGAGGUGCGAAAGCGUGGGGAGCAAACAGGAUUAGAUACCCCCGUAGUCCCUGUCUCUUAUAC
rnacentral:rRNA from 1 species